rnacentral:rRNA from 1 species
UACAGAGGUCUCAAGCGUUGUUCGGAUUCAUUGGGCGUAAAGGGUGCGUAGGCGGCGCGGUAAGUCGGGUGUGAAAUCUUGGAGCUUAACUCCGAAACUGCAUUCGAUACUGCCGUGCUUGAGGACUGGAGAGGAGACUGGAAUUUACGGUGUAGCGGUGAAAUGCGUAGAUAAUCGUAAGGAAGACCAGUGGCGAAGGCGGGUCUCUGGACAGGUUCCUGACGCUGAGGCAACGAAGGCCAGGGGAGCAAACGGG